AUUGAACGCUGGCGGCAGGCCUAACACAUGCAAGUCGAGCGAGCGGCGGACGGGUGAGUAAUGUAUGGGGACUGCCCGAUAGAGGGGGAUAACUACUGGAAACGGUGGCUAAUACCGCAUACUAUCGGAUAACCCAUAUGGGAUUAGCUAGUAGGUGGGGUAAAGGCUCACCUAGGCGACGAUCGCUAGCUGGUCUGAGAGGAUGAUGGGCCACCGUGGAAAUGGGAAACGGCCCAGACUCCAACGGAGGCGGCAGUGGGGAAUAUUGCACAAUGGGCGAAAGCCUGAUGCAGCAAUGCCGCGUGUAGGGAGAGGGCCUUAGGGUUGUAAAGUACUUACAGCGGGGAGUCGUUAGCCGCAGAAGAAGCACCGGCUAACUCCGUGCCAGCCGCCGCGGUAAUAC
rnacentral:rRNA from 1 species